GUAGCUCAGUUGGUAGAGCGUGAGACUCUUAAUCUCAGGGUCGUGGGUUCGAGCCCACGACA
rnacentral:tRNA from 1 species